rnacentral:rRNA from 1 species
AACGACUCUCGGCAACGGAUAUCUCGGCUCUCGCAUCGAUGAAGAACGUAGCGAAAUGCGAUACUUGGUGUGAAUUGCAGAAUCCCGUGAACCAUCGAGUUUUUGAACGCAAGUYGCGCCCUAAGCCUCUAGGCAAGGGCACGUCUGCCUGGGUGUCACGC